AUGGACGGGAAUAACCUCGGGAAACUGAGUAUAAUGCCCGAUAGAACACUAUACCUGGAAUGGUUUGUGUUCCAAAUGAUUUAUCGCCGUAGGAUGGGACUGCGGCCUAUCAGUUUGUUGGUGAGGUAAUGGCCCACCAAGACUAUUACAGGUACGGGCUCUGAGAGGAGUAGCCCGGAGAUGGGUACUGAGACACGGACCCAGGCCCUAUGGGGCGCAGCAGGCGAGAAAACUUUGCAAUGUGCGAAAGCACGACAAGGUUAAUCCGAGUGGUUUGUGCUAAACGAACCUUUUGACAGUCCUAGAAACACUGUUGAAUAAGGGGUGGGCAAGUUCUGGUGUCAGCCGCCGCGGUAAAACCAGCACCUCAAGUGGUCAGGAUGAUUAUUGGGCCUAAAGCAUCCGUAGCCGGCUCUGUAAGUUUUCGGUUAAAUCUGUACGCUCAACGUACAGGCUGCCGGGAAUACUGCAGAGCUAGGGAGUGGGAGAGGUAGACGGUACUCGGUAGGAAGGGGUAAAAUCCUUUGAUCUAUUGAUGACCACCUGUGGCGAAGGCGGUCUACCAGAACACGUCCGACGGUGAGGGAUGAAAGCUGGGGGAGCAAACCGGAUUAGAUACCCGGGUAGUCCCAGCUGUAAACUAUGCAAACUCAGUGAUGCAUUGGCUUGUGGCCAAUGCAGUGCUGCAGGGAAGCCGUUAAGUUUGCCGCCUGGGAAGUACGUACGCAAGUAUGAAACUUAAAGGAAUUGGCGGGGGAGCACCACAAGGGGUGAAGCCUGCGGUUCAAUUGGAGUCAACGCCAGAAAUCUUACCCGGAGAGACAGCAGAAUGAAGGUCAAGCUGAAGACUUUACCAGACAAGCUGAGAGGUGGUGCAUGGCCGUCGCCAGCUCGUGCCGUGAGAUGUCCUGUUAAGUCAGGUAACGAGCGAGAUCCCUGCCUCUAGUUGCCACCAUUACUCUCAGGAGUAGUGGGGCGAAUUAGCGGGACCGCCGUAGUUAAUACGGAGGAAGGAAGGGGCCACGGCAGGUCAGUAUGCCCCGAAACUCUGGGGCCACACGCGGGCUGCAAUGGUAACGACAAUGGGUUUCGAAUCCGAAAGGAUGAGGUAAUCCUCAAACGUUACCACAGUUAUGACUGAGGGCUGCAACUCGCCCUCACGAAUAUGGAAUCCCUAGUAA
rnacentral:rRNA from 1 species